rnacentral:rRNA from 1 species
GAUGAACGCUGGCGGCGUGCCUAAUACAUGCAAGUCGAGCGAACAGACGAGGAGCUUGCUCCUCUGACGUUAUCGGCGGACGGGUGAGUAACACGUGGAUAACCUACCUAUAAGACUGGGAUAACUUCGGGAAACCGGAGCUAAUACCGGAUAAUAUAUUGAACCGCAUGGUUCAAUAGUGAAAGACGGUUUUGCUGUCACUUAUAGAUGGCUCCGCGCCGCAUUAGCUAGUUGGUAAGGUAACGGCUUACCAAGGCAACGAUGCGUAGCCGACCUGAGCGGGUGGUCGGCCACACUGGAACUGAGACACGGUCCAGACACCUACGGGAGGAAGCAGUAGAGAAUCUUCCGCAAUGGGCGAAAGCCUGACGGAGCAACGCGGCGUGAGUGAUGAAGGUCUUCGGAUCGUAAAACUCUGUUAUUAGGGGAGAACAAAUGUGUAAGUAACUAUGCACGUCUUGACGGUACCUAGUCAAAAAGCCACGGCUAACUACGUG